UCUUAAUACUGUGUAUUUGUUUAGCAUCAAUGACAGCAUGCAGUCUUGUGUAAUAGUUGUCUGAGGCCCCUAAUCUUGCAGUUGGUAUAGCUGGCCAUUCGUCUUGGGAAAAUGCCUCCAGGUCAUAGUUACAUAGCUGAAAAGAGACUUGCGUCCAUCAAGUUCAGCCUUCCUCACAUUUGUUUUUUGCUGUUGAUCCAAAAAAAGGCAAAAAAAACAGUUUGAAG